GAAAACGCAGCCCCAGACCACCACAUGUAAGAGGCUGUGCGUGUGUGUUUACAGGAAAUAUCAUGUGAAGGACAUCAGCCUACACACUCUCUGUCUUGGUCUUGCAACCUUGACACCUUGGAUGUCAUGCGUCAUGUACAUUUCAUAUCUUUGGAUAUUUUUUGGUGCUUUGUUGUCUUCAAACGCUCAGUACCACGGGAAUACAAGAUGCACAGAGGUCACUGUGAACGCUUCUCUGAAAUCUGAAGUCUUUCUCCCAUGUCACUUUAAUAUAAGCCAUCACAAUGAAACCGAGAGUGUGAAUUGGAACCACUAUUCCAGUCUCGUAACGAUCAGGAUUAAUGGCAGAAUCUUCUUUCACAGUCCUAGUGAAGGACGAGUGAAUGUUUUUCCACUUCUAUCUAAACAUGGAAACUUCUCCAUCCUCAUCCAUGAUCUGCAGUCUUCAGACAUUGGCACCUACACAUGUCGGUUGAACAGUGAAUGCUGGAUGGUGAAGAUCAAUGAACGUCCGCACAGAAUCAAUGAGUCAAACCCCUGGUUCUACUUCGCAGCUGGAGCUGGAUUGCUUAUUCUCCUUUUUAUUGCAUUCAGCCUGUUUUCAAAAUUCUAUGGUGAGCAUUGUUUCCUUACAUUAUU
rnacentral:lncRNA from 1 species